AGAGUUUGAUCCUGGCUCAGGAUGAACGCUGGCGGCGUGCCUAAUACAUGCAAGUCGAGCGAACCACUUCGGUGGUGAGCGGCGAACGGGUGAGUAACACGUAGGUCAUCUGCCCAUCAGACGGGGACAACGAUUGGAAACGAUCGCUAAUACCGGAUAGGACGAAAGUUUAAAGGUGCUCUUGGCACCGCUGAUGGAUGAGCCUGCGGCGCAUUAGCUAGUUGGUAGGGUAAAGGCCUACCAAGGCGACGAUGCGUAGCCGACCUGAGAGGGUGAACGGCCACACUGGGACUGAGACACGGCCCAGACUCCUACGGGAGGCAGCAGUAGGGAAUCUUCGGCAAUGGGCGAAAGCCUGACCGAGCAACGCCGCGUGAAUGAUGAAGGCCUUCGGGUUGUAAAAUUCUGUUAUAAGGGAAGAACGACUUUAGUAGGAAAUGGCUAAAGUGUGACGGUACCUUAUGAGAAAGCCACGGCUAACUACGUGCCAGCAGCCGCGGUAAUACGUAGGUGGCAAGCGUUAUCCGGAAUUAUUGGGCGUAAAGAGCGCGCAGGUGGUUGAUUAAGUCUGAUGUGAAAGCCCACGGCUUAACCGUGGAGGGUCAUUGGAAACUGGUCGACUUGAGUGCAGAAGAGGGAAGUGGAAUUCCAUGUGUAGCGGUGAAAUGCGUAGAGAUAUGGAGGAACACCAGUGGCGAAGGCGGCUUCCUGGUCUGUAACUGACACUGAGGCGCGAAAGCGUGGGGAGCAAACAGGAUUAGAUACCCUGGUAGUCCACGCCGUAAACGAUGAGUGCUAAGUGUUGGGGGUCGAACCUCAGUGCUGAAGUUAACGCAUUAAGCACUCCGCCUGGGGAGUACGGUCGCAAGACUGAA
rnacentral:rRNA from 1 species